GAAAAGAGAGUUUGAGAGAGAAAGAAAUAUAGAUUUGAGGAGAGAAUAUUUUAAAAAGGGAGAAAAAGUUGUUAGAGAGAGAAAAAAGCUGUUAGAAAGAGAAAACACAUAAAUGUGAUAUUUUAUUGCUUGAAUUCCACGAAUAUAUUGUUCGAUCCACUAUCACUUAUUUAUAUACAUGAAUCGGUGUAAAUUUCUUCAUUUGGAUUCACCAAACAUCGCCGAAAGUCACCGUUCAGAGUUGGGGAUGCGUUGAUUAGAGGAAGAAGAUGAAUAGGCAUGAGUUGGUUUAAGACUAAAGCAUGUGCAGUUCAACGGAUAGAGUUGGCUUGGUUCGUCUAGGAAAGACAAUGGUUUAGAAUGGUUCGACGCUUCAGUGUUUCAAUUCGCUUCAAAUGCUGUCGCAUAACUUUCAGGAGAGGAUUAUGUCUCCCAGGUAAUAUUUCUUUAGUAAGGACACAUGGAAAACAAGAUGUAUUCUAGCUUUUGGAGGAAGUUGCAAUCGAUAGGCUACUGCACUGAUUUUUUUCUCAAUCUUAUAAAGGCCAUAGAAUUUUGGAAGCAGUUUAUAACCCUUUUUUGUAGCUAUUGAGACUUGGUUGUAGGGUUAAAGUUUAAAAAGAACCAAGUCACCUUCUUCAAACUAUCGUUCUGUUCUAUGUCCGUCAACAUAUUACUUCAUUUUGUUUUGAGUGGUAAGGCAUGUUUGUUUCAGAUAUCUAUUUAUUUGUUGCCUUUCUUCCAAAAAGGUUUCAAGGUCUGCUGAUGGAGUGUCGAUGUCAACAGUAUCCAAAAAAUAUAAUGGUGGAUACCCGUAGAGAGCCUGAAAGGGUGACAUUUUUAUACUUGAACGAUAGGUGGUAUUAUACCACCAUUCGGCUAACCCAAUCCCUUUUUCCCAAGAGUUAACGUUGGAGUGAUCCAUACAUCGAAGAUACCCUUCUAAACACUAGUUGAGUCAUUCAAUCUGACCAUCUGUUUGAGGAUGAUAAGAGGACUGUAAUGAAGAGUUGUUCCUGUUAACCUCAUUUAAUUCUUCCCAGAAGAGACUGGUGAAAACUUUAUCUCUGUCUGAAAUAAUGAUUUGAGGGUUUCCCAUGUAAUCGGUGAAUCUGGUCAAGGAUUGGGGACAUGAGUCCUCUAUGGUAGGAUUGACAAUCUCUAUGGUAAGCCUUGCCAAUCUCUAACCCAUUGGAAUGAGGUUGGGGACAUGAGUCUCCCUGCAUCGGAUUAUAUCUAGGAGGUUAUCGAGAAGGUUAACGUUAUCCAGAGGCACUUCCUCACUGCUCAGAGUCGCUAGAAAAGUUGCACAGACAACCAAAGGUGUCCCUUGGAGUUUACGGUUGCUGACCAUACUUUCCUCAAGGUCUUUCCAUGCAAGGUAGGAUUAUGGUAUCGACAAAGAGAUAAGCUAAGUCCUCGUUAUGUUAGACACUUGAAGAUCGCAAAACGUAUAGGCCCCAUGGCGUACUGCCCCACUUUGACCCUUGAGUAUGCUUCCUUACACGAUGUCUUCAAGGUUUCUAUUAUCUGAAAAUGUCUCUGCGAUCCUUCUCACAACAUCCUGCACCCAAGAGCUCCUAUCCACAUAGACAAAACCUAUAUAGCAUAUCUUAUAGAGAUCAUCAACUAGAUGAGGAAGGUUCUAUGUAACGAGAGGAUUUUCAUAAUCAGGGUGUGUUGACAGCACCACACUUCAAAAGAGGUGACAUGGGAAGAGGAAAAAGGGAUGUGGGAUGUGGGACCUAUAUCUUGAUUUGUUUUAAAAAACUCUUAUAAAUUUAGAGGACAAAAUUUGUAUAAGGUGGGAGAAAUGUAACACCCUGAAACCUUUGCAUUUAACGUGUAUCGAACUCCAUUAUUUAGGUCUCAUAGCCAUUUAAAUUCUGUUAUUA